rnacentral:rRNA from 1 species
UACGGAGGGGGCUAGCGUUGUUCGGAGUUACUGGGCGUAAAGCGCACGUAGGCGGCUUUGUAAGUUAGAGGUGAAAGCCCGGGGCUCAACUCCGGAAUUGCCUUUAAGACUGCAUCGCUAGAAUUGUGGAGAGGUAAGUGGAAUUCCGAGUGUAGAGGUGAAAUUCGUAGAUAUUCGGAAGAACACCAGUGGCGAAGGCGACUUACUGGACACAUAUUGACGCUGAGGUGCGAAAGCGUGGGGAGCAAACAGG